rfam:Methylobacterium sp. Leaf104 contig_12, whole genome shotgun sequence.
UCCUGCUGCCCUCCUUGGGCGUUUCCUCCCUAGACUUCGGGCCGCUCUUCGGAGCGGCCUUUUUUCUUGUCCGGU